AAUUAGUGCCCGAAAUGGGAACAAUUUGUAAAAUUGUUUAUGUGUAAACACCUAAUUAA
rnacentral:tRNA from 1 species